AUUGAACGCUGGCGGCAGGCCUAACACAUGCAAGUCGAACGAGUAGCGGACGGGUGAGUCAUGUCUGGGCAACUGCCUGAUGGAGGGGGAUCACUACUGGAAACGGUAGCUACUACCGCAUACCAUCGGAUGUGGCCAGAUGGGUUUGGAUCGUAGGUGGGGGAAAGGCUCUCCUAGGCGGCGAUCCCUAGCUGGUCUGAGAGGAUGACCGGCCACACUGGAGCGUGGACACGGUCCUGACGCCUACGAGAGGCCGCAGUGGGGAAUAGUGGACAAUGGGCGCAAGCCUGAUGCAGCCAUGCCGCGUGUGUGGAGGAGGCCUUCGGGUUGUAAUGUACUUUCAGCGGGUAGGCGUUACCCGCAGAAGAAGCACCGGCUAACUCCGUGCCAGUCGCCGCGGUAAUUC
rnacentral:rRNA from 1 species